ACGCUCUACAUCUGCAAGAAGAAGAAAACCACACAAACACCAGACUGUAGUUUGGUCCUGCCGGGUCUCCAAACUCACAGCAAAGACCCAAGACCAACACAACACACUGAACCAGGUGUGUGUGGAGAGGUGCAGUAUGCUGUGGUAAACAUAAUGCAGAGGAGCGGGGGACAGCAGAGGGGGCAGCAGCAGGUGGAGUACGGGCAGGUCAAAAAACCUGCUCUCCCCGGCUCACCUGUGCAGCAGGUGUACAGUGUGUAUGCCCAGGUGGGCCCUGCACAGGGCCUGCAGUCUGAUAGAGCUCUGGCAAACCCCACAGAUAUCCAUUAGUCUCCUUAUUUAACAUUUACAUGAGUCAUUACAGGCCUCAGGAUGACUCAGCAGAAUUGAACAUUUACACUUGAGGUGACAAGCCUCAUGAUGACUCAGCAAUGACAGGUCUGAUAUGAUGCAGUAAUGUGUGAGCUUUGCCACAGGUUUUGUGUUGCCAGACUAGGGGUGGGAUUUGCCACAGAAGCAACGAUACGAUAUUAUCACAAUACUUUCUUAUUAUUCUUAUUUCUUUCCAGAGUAGAAACAUGUACCAAAAUAAAAGAAAAAAAUCAUACUAUUAAAAAAAUAAAUAUCAUGAUAUUUGGCACCGACAUAUUGUGCCAAAAAAUAUUGCGAUACUAUACAAUAUCGAUUUUCUCUCCCACCUCUAGCCAGACCUACCAGGCCUAUUAAACAUUCUGCUGUGUGUGUGUGGCGCGCGCACGCCCACUACUGCAUGAUGCCAUGAUUUCAUUUGGAAAGCAAUUCUAUGAAAUACCUGCAGCAUAAUUGUACAUACCUAUACCAGGACAGUGUGUGUACGUGUAGAAGCUAACAGGAGAGUGUGUGUGCGCGUGUAAGGCUCCAGGAUAGUGUUUGUGUGUGUGUGAAGAAGCCACCAGGACAGUGUGUGUACGUGAAGAAAGGCACCAGGACAGUGUGUGUACAACUAGAAGCCACCAGGAUAGUGUGUGUACGUGAAGAAAGGCACCAGGAUAGUGUGUGUACGUGUAGAAGCCACCAGGACAGUGUGUGUACAACUAGAAGCCACCAGGAUAGUGUGUGUACGUGUAGAAGGCACCAGGACAGUGUGUGUACGUGUAGAAGGCCCUAUAAACCCUCAUCACUAGGGCUUAGCUGGGCUCUGAAGGCAAAUAAAUGUACCUGCUCAAUAAA